GACGAACGCUGGCGGCGUGCUUAACACAUGCAAGUCGUACGGUAAGGCCCUUUCGGGGGUACACGAGUGGCGAACGGGUGAGUAACACGUGAGUAACCUGCCCACAACUUUGGGAUAACGCUAGGAAACUGGUGCUAAUACUGGAUAUGUGCUCCUGCUGCAUGGUGGGGGUUGGAAAGCUCCGGCGGUUGUGGAUGGACUCGCGGCCUAUCAGCUUGUUGGUGGGGUAGUGGCUUACCAAGGCUUUGACGGGUAGCCGGCCUGAGAGGGUGACCGGCCACAUUGGGACUGAGAUACGGCCCAGACUCCUACGGGAGGCAGCAGUGGGGGAUAUUGCACAAUGGGCGGAAGCCUGAUGCAGCAACGCCGCGUGCGGGAUGACGGCCUUCGGGUUGUAAACCGCUUUCGCCUGUGACGAAGCGUGAGUGACGGUAAUGGGUAAAGAAGCACCGGCUAACUACGUG
rnacentral:rRNA from 1 species